rnacentral:rRNA from 1 species
UACAGAGGGUGCGAGCGUUAAUCGGAAUUACUGGGCGUAAAGCGCGCGUAGGCGGCUUUGCAAGUCGGGUGUGAAAUCCCCAGGCUUAACCUGGGAACUGCAUUCGAGACUGCAUUGCUAGAGUAUGGGAGAGGGAAGUGGAAUUUCCGGUGUAGCGGUGAAAUGCGCAGAUAUCGGGAGGAACACCAGUGGCGAAGGCGGCUUCCUGGCCUGUUCUUGACGCUGAGGCGCGAAAGCUAGGGGAGCAAACGGG